rfam:Ovis aries breed Texel chromosome 13, whole genome shotgun sequence.
UCCCUGGUGGUUCAGUGGCUAAGACUCCAUGCUUCCAAUGCAGGGGGCCUAGGUUCAAUUCUUGGUCAGGGAA